UACAGAGGUCCCGAGCGUUGUUCGGAUUCAUUGGGCGUAAAGGGUGCGUAGGCGGCGGGGCAAGUCUGAUGUGAAAUCCCGGGGCUCAACCCCGGAACUGCAUUGGAUACUGCCUUGCUGGAGUACUGGAGAGGGAACUGGAUUUACGGUGUAGCAGUGAAAUGCGUAGAGAUCGUAAGGAAGGCCAGUGGCGAAGGCGAGUUCCUGGACAGUUACUGACGCUGAGGCACGAAGGCCAGGGGGAGCAAACGGG
rnacentral:rRNA from 1 species